AUUGAACGCUAGCGGGAUGCCUUACACAUGCAAGUCGAACGGAGUGGCGAACGGGUGAUUAAUGUAUCGGAACGUGCCCAGUAGCGGGGGAUAACUACGCGAAAGCGUAGCUAAUACCGCAUACUCUUGGAGCGGCCGAUAUCGGAUUAGCUAGUUGGUGGGGUAACGGCUCACCAAGGCGACGAUCCGUAGCUGGGGUGAGAGGACGACCAGCCACACUGGGACUGAGACACGGCCCAGACUCCUACGGGAGGCAGCAGUGGGGAAUUUUGGGCAAUGGGGGAAACCCUGAUCCAGCCAUCCCGCGUGAGUGAUGAAGGCCUUCGGGUUGUAAAGCACUUUUGGCAGGGAAGCGGUACCUACAGAGUAAGCACCGGCUAACUACGUGCCAGCAGCCGCGGUAAUAC
rnacentral:rRNA from 1 species